UUUUGCCCUGUCUUUUCCUUCUUCUCCUUGUUUCUCUUCUAUUUAUUCUCUUUUAUGAACCUCUUAUCAUGGUUCUCUCCUAAUUCUGUUUUUCUGUUUCAUGCUGUCAUAGUGAAGUCUCUCAUCUGUCUUUUUUCAUCUGACUUUACUGAUUUAUUUGUUUCCUGCUCUAGAGAUUGUAAGUCAAUUUAGUCUGUGACUGAUAAGCUAAAGCUACAUUAUUAUUUAUUGGAAACACUCAGGAGUUUGCUCAAGUUGCUCUUGGAUUAAAAAAACAAACAAAAAACAGAUCGAUGGGAAUUCAAUGGCAUCUCUAGAAUCACAUCUCAAAAAUCACAUCCGUGUAUUUUUCAGUGACAGAUGGGGCAGAUGAGCUGUUGUAAACAGGUAUGCGUCUUUGCGUGUAGCGUUUGGUUUUUAGAUUUGGUUACAGUUACAUGUGUGUGUGCCUGUAUGUGUGUGUGAGACCCUAUAGCACAGAUGGGUGAUCCAGUCUGUCACGUCUUUGUAGCAUAAUUAGAGUUUCUGGCCUUAAUCUGCAUGGGUUUGGAGAGGGGGGUGUUAACGCCCACUUUCUCUCUCAAACACAUACUGCACCCCCCCCAGCACCCACACACACCCUGACCUCAACCUCCGUCCUUUCACUCAAACACCCACACAUACACUUUCACUCUCACUAACAUAAAAUGAGACAUUAACUUUUCUUUCAACACAGAAACAAUAAAAUAAUAAUAAUAAUAAUAAUCACGGCAUUAGCGCUCAUUUGACAGGUGACAGGAUGCAUAGAUGGAAAGAAAGAUAAAAAGAAUAGAAAAAGGAAAGAAAGUAUAUAAAAUCAGUAAGAAAAAUGAACAGAGUGAGUGUCAAGGCAAUAAAAAUGAGUUUGUGCAAGCGUUGGGAGGGGGUUUGAGAAAAUGACAGAGGGAGUGAGGGGAGGGGAGGACAAACAAAUGAAAGGGAUGACAGCAGAACAACAGCUUUAAAACAAAGGCGCUGAUUGUUUUGUGUUUACAGGCUGCUACAUGUUUUGCAAAGGAGCAUACGGCUCCUCUAUGGAUUCAGGACACUGUUUUCAAAUGAGCAGCCACACACACACACACACACACACACACACACACACACACAUACACACACUCCAGCUGCCCUUUGGCUCAUAUCUGUGGUGACCACUUCCUCGUGGCGGUGCCACAUCCUCAAUGGCUGCCAUGGCAACAAGGGUCGCUGGGACACCGGGUUGCUAGGCAAACACGAGGUUGCUAGGCCUACCUGCCCCGAGUACGUGUGAGUCUGAUUGGUCGUUAAGUGGGAGUCCAUUAAGUGAUAAAAAUGGGUAUCAUGGUAUCCAGUUAUACCUCUGUUUAGUGUUACUCAGACAGUAAAGGUGGAAAAUGCUGCAUUUUUCGACCAAUUAUCAAAACUCAUGCUUUAAAACUUUUUCAUCUCUCCAAAAAGUCCAAUUAUGUUAUUGUAAUUUAAGUGAGAAUGUUGGGAAUAUUUUAUUCAGGCUAACAAAUGACACUAAAAAUCCUAAAAAUGUUAAAUGAAGUAAUGAAAUAAAACUAAAAUAAGUGAAAUCUGAAAUUAACUUUAAAUGUACACCAUAAAAAUGAUUUUUAUGAUUGAUUUUAAACACUGCAUCUUCUUCAAGCUAAAUAUGAAAAAGCUAACAGGUUGUGCAGUGACAUAUUCACAGCAAGCUUUAAACUGCAUUUGACUUUUUGUCACAGCUGCUCCAAGGUGGUUGUAGAUAUGCUGCCAGUCAAAUGUGCUAGCUUUAGUUUUUCUGAAAAUCUCUGGGCAGGAGAGAGCGUAAUUAAACAGAUACCUAAGAACUUGUGAAUAUCAAGAUUAUUAGUGAUGAGAUACACCAGCUAAUGAGCUAUAACAAGAUUUACCAGUCACCAGUCUCACUUCAUUUUAACCUUCAGAUUUGGGAAAAGAAAACAGUUUAAAACUGUUAUGUGCCGACAUUGAUCAUUUUCCAUAAUCGGCUUACUUAUCAUGUCUAAGUCAUACUUUCAAUUAUCUGAGUAAAUAUGCUUAACAUUUAUUUGGCCAUAUAAACUGUGGCUUUGGGGUUUAAUUUGGAAAAUGAAUAAAUUAGGACUAAUGAGUUAAUGCAUAGGUUCAGUGUAUGAGUUUAUCUUUUGAGAUUGAUAUUAGCUUUUAAAACUAAUCUAGUCCCCAAUCUGUGGGUUUACCUCCAAACUGAUAUUCAAUUAAUUAAUCUCUUCAUCUAAACAAACAUGGAUUUAGAUUAAGAGAUAUUCACAGUGCUUUGGCAUGCCACUUUGCUCAGCAGAUGGACAGUAUUACAGGCUCGAUCUGUAACGAAGUCAGAACCAAACAGUGGGAUUUAUCAGAAUCUAUUUUUCUAGUGGAAUGUAUUGUCCAAGCUUUAAGGACUGACAGCAUGCUUUGUGACAGCUAAACAUGAGGUUUUUAUUUUAUAGACAAAGAAAACCAGAUGUUAAUUGUGGUUAAUUUGUUUUGUACAUGUUUUCCUCUAGUCACAUUUACAGUGACAAUGCCUCUUUAAUGUUAUAAUCCUUAAGAUCUCAGUCCUGGGUGAUGGCAACAACCAGCUGCCGAAGACACAUCUCUGUCUCUGUCACAGAGUGGCCGGCCCACCGGUAUUUCUCCCGGUAUUCCGGUGUCCAGUCCGACUAUGUUUUACGAGGGGGCGGGGAGGGGGGGUUACGGUAGGUUGUUGUCUUUAACGUUACUCACACACAGCUCAUAAAUUAUUUGUCUGGUUCGCACGUAUUUGUUUUUAGGGGCACGUGUGAGAGCCCGGUGUGGGCGUGGAUAGUGAGCAGACUGCAUAGCAAACAAAGACUCGUUUCACACAAACUUUUUAUUCCCUUUUUUGUAUUUAUGUAAUCGCACAUGAUGACAUCAGGAUUGCAAUUGCGAUUAGAUUAAUCGUGCAGUCCUAACCUCUUAAAACUUUAUACUUUUCCUAGCGUAUAUGUGGCAUUCUGCCCAAAGCCAAGUUCAAGAGACUGGGUUACAAAAUGGGUCACAAAUGUCAAGUUGUUUUUUAAGUCUAACUAGUGUCCUAAAACAGCUGGACACUGUAGUUUUCAACAAAUGUUACUUAAACAGAAGUAAAUGGUGCAUUUUUGGUGGGACUAUUUUCAGAUGUGGAUUAAUAUACAUUCAGUGCUUUAGUGAGUAUUAACAGCUCAAAAUAAACUACAGUGUUUGUUUAUGGUAAUGAAGGAGCCUGUCACCCAGUGCAAGGUGUUUUGACAACUAUGGAGGUCUAAGAAACAGAUGAAUAAGAUAUAUCAGCCUUUGGAUACACAGACAAUAGAGGAGCAAGUCAUUGUUGGCUAUUCGUGGGAUUUGUUGACAAUAAGAAGAAUACAUUAACAGUCUUAUCUAUUAAGAAAAUUAUGGUUUCUUUAUGCAAAUAAUGAUUUAUAAUCAAAUGUUUUAAUUGACUCGUAAUCCCACUUAAUCCAGUAUAUAUAUAUAUAUAUAUAUAUAUAUAUAUCCGUGGGAGGAACUCUGCAGAUAUUAUUUCGCUUAAUAAAGAAAUGAUUCAUGGAUAAUCCUAUUUGUAAUGAGCCAGGUUGUUCUUUUCAAGGCUUCAGUAUGUGUGUAUGUGCGUGUGUGUGUGGAGGAUGGAGUAAGAGAAAGCACCAUGUUGCUGUCUGUCUAUGUAUUUGUGUGUCCUGUUUCAUUGUCCCAUUGCAUUCAUUACCCCCCAUCAUUACCAUAUAUCCUAAAUCCGGGUCAAUGUAUCUUUCUCUCACCCUCUCUCUCACUCCUACUCCUCCCUCCUCCUUCCCAGGGAACAAUAAGUAGCAUGUGUUAGGAGGAUCAGGCAGAUUCACUGUAAGGGAAUUAGGGCCCAGAAUGGCUUCCCCUAAUUGGACUUGAAUGGACUUUGACUAUGAGAAACUGGAUCUUAUAGAUGAGCUUCUUAUGCACAAUGGUCGCCUCGCUCAGUGUGGGAAGUGGGUUGAGCUGACAACUGUUUUAGGCACAGAUGAACAAGCACGCACAUAAACACACACGGGAUCUUAAUUGCGUAGUGGAAGCUCUUGCCUUCUGACCAGACAGUCGUGUGUGUUAGCAUGCGGCGCAGAGGUUGCUGUCGUCUCGUCUUGAGAGAGUCAGUGAGAGUAAUUAAGACCUCGUUAAGACUGGAGGAGUUAGGAUUAAUUAGACGCUUGCUGGCUCAGGGAGCUCCUUCUGACUCACACACACUCACUCACAAGUUCCCUGGCAGCUGAGGGUUUUUACAUAUGCUCUAACACACACACACACACACACACACACACAGACACACUGAACACGAAGCAGCAAUACGUUUAUCAGCGAGAGCCCUGAAGACGCUUGCCUUGAGAGGCUAAAAUGACAUCCCGAUGCCGCCUUCUCAGCAGGAAUCAAUUAGCGCCCAACCCGCCUCUCGCUCGUCUUGUCAAUUAGAGCUACACAGCCAAUUUGGCAGCGUCAGGACAUGAACCAGCAACAGCUUGUCUAUUGAUACCGAUAUAACUGAACUUCAGUGAUUACAGUGUUUAAAUAUUAAUACCUGUCCCAAGUUUUACAAUGUCUUUAAUGAACUGUGAAGACUGUGGAGGCAGAGAUCUGUAGCAUGAGUGUAGCCUUAUUCUUGUUAUUUAGGAUGUAUUUAAAUGAAAAAUGCUAAAACAAAGAUUUCUGAAUUGCUCACAAUUUAUAUAAAUAAACAAAAUAAAUAGUUUAGCUAAAUAGGAAGGACAGUCAAAGUCAAAUCAUGGCUAUUCACACCAUGUGGAGGGAAGGGUUAGACUAAGGCCAGUGGGUCCAAAAAGGCCAAAUUUAAGGUAAAUUUAGUUAUAAUCCUUAACAUUUAGCACAACGUAAUACAAUGCCAUCGAAGGGAAUUCUGAAAUCUGAGCUCAAAUCUGAAAACGAUCGAUUGAAAACCCAAUAUAACCAAGCGUCAGUGGCCUAUAGCUAGUUUCUAUGCCAAACGUUUGGCACUGCUUUGUCAACAAUUCUGGAAGACUUUUUCCAGUAGCAAUAUACAAAACCAAAGACUUAGAGUUCUGCGUGACUAUAAAUUAGAGGUUUUGUUAUUAUGCCUGAAGUUGCCUCAUAAAUGCCACACACACAAACAACUUUCCUGCAGUCUAUACUGUCUAGUAAAGCAGAAAAGCCCCAAAACAUGAUUUGAAAAAGUUACUACAACAGCUAUUCUUCCAGGUUCCACAGGAAACCUUCAUGGUACAACUCGUAGAAUUAUGUCGAUUGUGCACAUUCACACUGUCCUCUAUAAAAUGUGCCGAGCAACGACGAAUCUGGUUGAAGUGGGCAGAUUCUUAAAGGAUGCGUGUGUUUGCCCUCCCAACAUGGCCUGGGGGGUGGGGGGACUGACAACAACCGCCAUCAAGGGAAGGAGAGAGGGAGUGAGGCACCCUGACACUUUCUGUGACAUUCUCUCUUUCCCCCUUUUCGUUGUAAACAGAAAAUGGCAUUCCUCAAGCUCAGCAUUUUGCCCCCCCCCCCUUUCUGUCUUUUGUCUCUCUUGUUUUUUUUGGUUUGCGCUGAUUGUGAUGAGCUGGGUGUCGCAGCAGUGGUUGGGUGGGAGGGCAGCCGGUGGGAUGACUGGGUGUAUGCAUGUGUGUUUGUGUCUUAUCUACAUGUGAAGUCAUUCUUUUGAAGGAAAAUUACCAGGUUGAGAAAACACACUUGACAGUUACCGAUUUUGGCUAUACACCUGCACUCAAACAGUGAUAUUCUGCAUUGCAUUAAUUUCAUGGGGAGGAAAGAGAGACUUUGACACGUAUUUUGUUGUAAACCAUAGAUGGAAAAAAGAACUUCUGUGCACUUCUGGUGUUAUACCUUCUAAGGAAAACUGUAUCUGUCUGUCAUCAGCAGUCUGAUAUAGACAAUUUUGACAUUAGUGCUGUUAAUGUAUUUAAAAUAUUUUUAGUUUUGAAACCCUCCUUGCAGUUUGAGUCUCUGCACAUACAGUAGUAUAGAAUCACAUCAAUACAUAAGACCUAAACACAUGAGACCAGGUUGUACAGUAAUGCUGACUGCAGUUGUUUAUCUGGCCGGAGCAUUCAGUGUGGCAUAGGCCGCCAUCAAAAAAAGCCAAAGCAUGUAAAACUGCUCACAGGACAAGGGGACUUUUAAAACAUUUAACAAAACAUUUAAUUGAAAUGUCCCAGAUCCCAGAAAAGCUCAUUUUAUACACAUGACAUUGUCUUAAAAAAACUAAUAAAGUGGUUAACUGUUUGGUUUUAUAAAUACCAAAGUAGUGGAAAAUGUCCACCCAAGUGUUGUUUUUUGACCGACUUGCUCUCUAAAACCCAAAGACUUGUUUUUCAUAAAUUUAUAAAACUAAGAAAACCAGCAAAUAUUCACAACCGAGAAGCUGGAGCCACUGAAUUUUUUAUAUUUUUUGUCAGCUAUCGAAUCCGUACCUUUGGUAAAUCAUCUCUAUGUAUGUAUAAAGUUGUAUAAUUUAUAAUCCUUUACUUGUACAAGGGCAAAUGUUGCAGAGCUUGUGUAUUUGUGUCAGUGUAUUAUUUUUUGUACAUUUGUGUGUCAGAGGUUGUCACUGACACAAUCGUCUUUUUGUGAUUUUAGAAGGACAGAUGACAUCGCCUUGUGUGUGUUUGUUUAUGCAUUAAUUGCCGAGUUAUUACGUUCAUUCCAUAACUCUUUUGUGGGUCAACCCCCCACCCAACACACACUGCUUUGUAAACCCACCUCCCUUUCCUUCUGCUGCAGACACACACACACACACACACACACACACACACACACACACACACACACCCUCCCAAUUAUGCUCCAUUAUGUCACCCCCUCUGACAGCUCCUGAAAAAAUAUCUCUUUCCCUCUGUCAUCGUCUGCUCAUCUCUCUCACUGCAUUCGCUUUUCCAUGCUACCUCCCUCCAUUCAUCUCUCUCUCUCUCUCUCUCUCUCAUCCCUUGUUCCUGUGAGACAAUGUCUUGUAACAAUACCGAGCUUAAUCUCCGUAUCAAAGCCGUUUUUCCCCUUCACUGAACACACACAAACACACACAUACACUUUCACUGUGCUUUUUUUUCUGUCCGUAUUUUUGUUUUUUAUGGAAAAAAUUAUAUUAAGUGCUAAUGAAAAAUGUUAUCUUCUGUUGCCUCUGUCAUUUCCUCCUUCAUCCCUCCUCUACAUCUCAUUAAUACAUCACUUACGAGGUGACAGAUACAUGGAAUUUGGCUAUUCAAAAGUCGCAACUACAAAAAAAUCAAACAACAUUUUAUCAGUAUGCGUAUCCUGCAUUAAGUACCAUUGUUUUUGUACUUGUGGUGUGAUCCAACAUGUUUCACAUCACUUAUAGUUGGGAUAUGCAAACAAGUGAAAAUAUUGCAUUAUGCUGAAUUUUUUAACAUGACUUUUGGUAGACAUUUUUACAGUGUACUGUUAACUUAAGGCCUGCAGGACAGGAACAGUGUUUGAAGAGAGAUGUUUAAUGUUAGUUCAGCUCAGUCUGAAAGCCCAUGAUGGCAUAAUAAUAGGAUAAUAUUUGGGUCAUUCUUGUUUGAUUAGGAAGGUUUCUUUUUUUUCUCCAAUGAGGACCCCCAGGUGUAGACAGUGUUUUAGUGGCUAAUGAGGUAGAUAAAAUAAAUUGAAAUAUCUUAGAUAAUUUAACUGUGUGUGUGUGUGUGUGUGUGUGUGUGUGUGUGUGUGUGUGUGUGUGUGUCAGUUAAAGUUAAAUGCAUUUACACACUUGCAUUGUGUACAAACAGUGACACACACAAGAAAACA